CAGCGCCACGAGUGGGAAUCAGAUUUAUUGGGCCUAAAGCGUCCGUAGUCGGUCUAGUAAAUUCUUUGUGAAAUUGUUGAGCUCAACUCAGCAGCGUGCAGAGAAAACUGCUAGACUAGGGACCGGGAGGAGUGUGAAGUAUUCUUUGGGGAGCGGUAAAAUGUUAUAAUCCUUAGAAGACUACCUGUGGCGAAGGCGUCACACUAGAACGGAUCCGACGAUGAGGGACGAAAGCCAGGGGAGCGAUCCGGAUUAGAUACCCGAGUAGUCC
rnacentral:rRNA from 1 species